rnacentral:rRNA from 1 species
UACAGCCAUAUCAUGUUGAAACACCAGUUCUCAUACAAUCACUGAAGUUAAGCAACAUUGAGCCUAGUCAUUAGCUAGAUGGGUGACCCAUUUGGGAAUACCAGGUGCUGUAAG